rnacentral:rRNA from 1 species
UGGCGGCGUGCCUAACACAUGCAAGUCGAGCGAAGUAAUCUGGAGUGAAGCUUCGGCAGAGCGAAGGAUUAUCUUAGCGGCGGACGGGUGAGUAACGCGUGAGAAACCUGCCUUUCACAAAGGGAUAGCCUCGGGAAACUGGGAUUAAUACCUUAUGACACUUAAUUACCGCAUGGUAGAUAAGUUAAAGCGUAAAGCGGUGAAAGAUGGUCUCGCGUCCCAUUAGCUAGUUGGUGAGGUAACGGCUCACCAAGGCUACGAUGGGUAGCCGGCCUGAGAGGGUGAACGGCCACAUUGGGACUGAGACACGGCCCAAACUCCUACGGGAGGCAGCAGUGGGGAAUAUUGGACAAUGGGGGAAACCCUGAUCCAGCGACGCCGCGUGAGUGA